rnacentral:piRNA from 1 species
UGAUGCACAAGGUGUUUUGUCAAAUUGCUU